GUCGGAGUGGCGCAAGGGUGCUUAACACGUGGGCAAUCUGCCGUGAAGCCUGGAAUAACUCGCUGAAAGGCGAGCUAAUGCCGGAUGUGAAAAUCGGGAGGCAUCUUUUGAUUUUCAAAGCUGGGGACCGCAAGGCCUGGCACUUCACGAUGAGCCCGCGGCCUAUCAGCUAGUUGGCGAGGUAACGGCUCACCAAGGCUUAGACGGGUAGCUGGUCUGAGAGGACGACCAGCCACACUGGAACUGAGACACGGUCCAGACACCUACGGGUGGCAGCAGUCGAGAAUUUUUCUCAAUGGGCGAAAGCCUGAAGGAGCGACGCCGCGUGGGGGAUGAAUGGCUUCGGCCCGUAAACCCCUGUCAUUCGCGAUCAAAUGUUAUUAUUUAAAAGAUGAUGACCUGAUAGUAGCGGAAGAGGAAGGGACGGCUAACUCUGUGCCAGCAGCCGCGGUAAUACAGAGGUCCCAAGCGUUGUUCGGAUUCACUGGGCGUAAAGGGUGCGUAGGUGGUCAGGUAAGUCGGAUGUGAAAGCUCGGAGCUCAACUCCGAAAUGGCAUUGGAAACUACCUGGCUCGAGGAAUGGAGGGGGGACUGGAAUUCUCGGUGUAGCAGUGAAAUGCGUAGAUAUCGAGAGGAACACCAGUGGCGAAGGCGAGUCCCUGGACAUCUCCUGACACUGAGGCACGAAAGCUAGGGGAGCAAACAGGAUUAGAUACCCUGGUAGUCCUAGCCGUAAACGGUGCAUGCUUGCUGUAAAAGGAAUCGACCCCUUUUGUGGCGGAGCCAACGCGUUAAGCAUGCCGCCUGGGAAGUACGGUCGCAAGAUUAAAACUCAAAGAAAUUGACGGGGGCCUGCACAAGCGGUGGAGUAUGUGGCUCAAUUCAAUGCAACGCGAAGAAC
rnacentral:rRNA from 1 species